UACGUAGGGUGCAAGCGUUGUCCGGAAUUAUUGGGCGUAAAGAGCUCGUAGGCGGUCUGUCGCGUCUGCUGUGAAAACUCAGGGCUUAACCCUGAGCUUGCAGUGGGUACGGGCAGACUAGAGUGCGGUAGGGGAGACUGGAAUUCCUGGUGUAGCGGUGAAAUGCGCAGAUAUCAGGAGGAACACCAAUUGGCGAAGGCAGCUCGCUGGGACGUGACUGACGCUGGAGAACGGCGAAAGCGUGGGGAGCAAACAGG
rnacentral:rRNA from 1 species